CCUACGGGAGGCUGCAGUGAGGAAUAUUGGUCAAUGGUCGGGAGACUGAACCAGCCAAGCCGCGUGAGGGAGGAAGGUACAGAGUAUCGUAAACCUCUUUUGUCAGGGAACAAAGGCGGGGACGUGUCCACGGAUGAGUGUACCUGAAGAAACAGCAUCGGCUAACUCCGUGCCAGCAGCCGCGGUAAUCCGGAGGAGGCGAGCGUUAUCCGGAUUUAUUGGGUUUAAGGGGUGCGCAGGCGGUCUGUAAAGUCAGCGGUCAAGGCCCGGGGCUCAACCCCGGCCCGCCGUUGAAACUGGCAGACUCGAGUUGGAGAGAGGUAUGCGGAAUGCGCGGUGUAGCGGUGAAAUGCAUAGAUAUCGCGCAGAACUCCGAUUGCGAAGGCAGCAUGCCGGCUCCACACUGACGCUGAGGCACGAAAGCGUGGGUAUCGAACAGGAUUAGAUACCCGUGUAGUC
rnacentral:rRNA from 1 species